UACGUAGGGCGCGAGCGUUGUCCGGAAUUAUUGGGCGUAAAGAGCUCGUAGGCGGCUUGUCGCGUCUGUCGUGAAAGCCCACGGCUUAACCGUGGGUUUGCGGUGGAUACGGGCAGGCUAGAGGCAGGUAGGGGAGCAUGGAAUUCCCGGUGUAGCGGUGAAAUGCGCAGAUAUCGGGAGGAACACCGGUGGCGAAGGCGGUGCUCUGGGCCUGUUCUGACGCUGAGGAGCGAAAGCGUGGGGAGCGAACAGG
rnacentral:rRNA from 1 species